GUAUAAGUUCACAUCACGACAAAAAACUUAACAAAUAAGCACAGCGUAAUCUGCACUCGGAGAUUCGUAUCCUGCGAUUCAUUUGCGCGUGUUCCCUGUGAGUUUAAACAAGUUUUAUCGAACAAAAUGCGUGCGUCUUUUCUUUUGGUAACUUUCGCUUUAUUUUUGGCAGUGGAAGCUGCUAAAUUACCCAGUGAAAAGUCAACAUCUACGUGUACAUGUGUAGCGCAUGACGAGUGCGAUAAUUUCGCUAAAAGUGACAUCAUAAGCACGACAUGUCAAAGCUUUUUAGACGUUUGCUGCGAACCAGGACACAUGAUUGCUAAAGAUCAAGGAGAAAAAGGGAGUGAAACCACAACAAAAGCAGAUGCUGCACAAGAAAGAGUUGUUUUUGUUGAUUAAUUAAUGAAAUUAUUAAUGUUUGUUGAGUGUAUAUAUGAUUGCAUACGUUAUAUAUUAAUCUUCAAAAGAAAAAACGUGUAUGUUGGGUUGCCUACGUUAAAACAUGAAUUUUUACCUAAAAACUUUUUUUGCACGGAAAUAAAAUAUAAAGACUUAUAAUAACAUAAGUACAUAAUAUUUUAGCCAAAUAAAUACUAAAAUACCAUAAAUAAUUAGAGUUUGUUUGUGUUAUGCCGAUAUGGGCGAAUAACCACUUACAAAUUACUUUUAACGACCGCUAUUAAACAUGUCUACUAGAAUAUAAAUAAAAAAACGAUAAUAACUA